rnacentral:lncRNA from 1 species
UGUAAUCUCUAGCAGAUAGCAGUCGGAUUUCAUUUUCCACCUUUCGGGUGUCAAAAUAACAUGAAAUUUUAAAUAUAGCCUCAUAAAAAAUAAUCCUGACAUAUUUUCAGAUUUUCAUAAUUUUCUGACACUGUGAAUUUUUCGCUAAAAUAUCAGCCCCGUUCUUUACAGAAAAUUCUAAAUCUUCUAUUUUCAUUCCGAUUUUAGCACAAGUCAUUCCAGACUUAUAUUUUACUUCUUUAAGUCCAAUAAAAAUAGUAUCUCGCACUAUUUUUAUUUACAC